AAUAGCCCUUUCAUGACUAAAGGAAAGGGUAAUGGUUAUACACCUCUUACCACAUUCACUACUUCCAAAGAAAGAACUCAAGGACUGGACUACGGAGGGACUUAGAAAAACCUACUAGCAACCUCUCCGCUUCCUAUACUUAGAAAAUGAUCCCAAUGAAGCCAAUGGUGAGACAAAAGGAACCCCAGGAUUGAUUAUUCCCUUAGGCCUAUUCUCACUCCUUCAACUAAGAAAUUCAAAUCAGCACUUGAAGCAGGAGUCUAGCUAAGGCUAGUGCGCGUAUGUUAAAACGCCUCAGUUCCCUAUAAUAAUGUGAAUUCUCAAAAUAAUACCUCACAAACAAGGUAGAUGAAUUGCCAAGACUAUCUCGACCUUACCCUUACACUCAGCUUAGAGCAUUCAAUCUCGCUUUCACCCCUCAGAAGGACAGAAAGCACUAGGGGAAUGAAAUCCUGCGCCUAGAAAGAAAGGUAGGGGAAAUAGCCCUUUCAUGACUAAAGGAAAGGGUAAUGGUUAUACACCUCUUACCACAUUCACUACUUCCAAAGAAAGAACUCAAGGACUGGACUACGGAGGGACUUAGAAAAACCUACUAGCAACCUCUCCGCUUCCUAUACUUAGAAAAUGAUCCCAAUGAAGCCAAUGG
rnacentral:lncRNA from 1 species